rnacentral:rRNA from 1 species
UUGCCUUAGUAACUGCGAGUGAAGCGGCAAGAGCUCAAAUUUGAAAUCUGGCACCUUCGGUGUCCGAGUUGUAAUUUGUAGAAGCAUCUUUUGGAUUGGUCCUUGCAUAUGUUCCUUGGAACAGGACAUCAUAGAGGGUGAGAAUCCCGUUCAUGGUGGGGAAUCCAAUUCUUUGUAAAGUGCUUUCGAAGAGUCGAGUUGUUUGGGAAUGCAGCUCUAAGUGGGUGGUAAAUUCCAUCUAAAGCUAAAUAUUGGCGAGAGACCGAUAGCGAACAAGUACAGUGAUGGAAAGAUGAAAAGAACUCCGAAAGGAGAGUGAAAAAGGACGUGAAAUUGUUGAAAGGGAAGUGCUUGAGAUCAGUCUUAAGGUUUAGUGAUCAGUCUUCCUUUUGGUUGGUGCACUCACUAUUUCUUAGGCCAACAUCAGUUUUCGCGGCAGGAUAAUGACAUUGGAAUGUGGCUCUUUCGGGAGUGUUAUAGCCUUUGUUGAUACUGCCUGCUUAGACUGAGGACCGCGCUUUUGCUAGGAUGUUGGCAUAAUGAUCUUAAGC